AGGUUCGAUUCGAGCGCAGCGAGAAAGCGUUGCCGCAGGCAACGACCCGAAGGGCGAAACGCGCAGCGCUGAGUAAUCUCUCCCCCACCACCA
rnacentral:sRNA from 1 species